AAAAGUUUAGUUAAUUUUAUAACAUUAGUUUGUCAAACUAAAGUAGUUUUUAAAACAACUUUUA
rnacentral:tRNA from 1 species